UCAAAUUCACCACACACAAUACGUAAGACAAUUGCUAUGGUAAGACAUAAUUAAGACACAAUACGUAGAAAUAAAACCAAACCAAACCAAACCAAAUCAAUGCGGUUUGGAUUGGUUCGGUUGGUUCGGUUUUUUAUAAUAUUUUUAUUUAGCCAUACAUACACCUAUAGAGAACAACGUAACUUUGUGUUUAGCCAUUCAUACAUUAGUAAAUAAC
rnacentral:lncRNA from 1 species